UACGUAGGGACCGAGCGUUGUCCGGAAUCAUUGGGCGUAAAGAGCGUGUAGGCGGCCACUUAAGUCCUGCGUGAAAUCUUGCGGCUCAACCGCAAGCGGUCGUGGGAAACUGGGUGGCUAGAGUGCGGGAGAGGAGAGUGGAAUUCCUGGUGUAGCGGUGAAAUGCGCAGAUAUCGGGAAGAACACCCGUGGCGAAGGCGGCUCUCUGGGACGGUACUGACGCUGUGGCGCGAAAGCUAGGGGAGCAAACGGG
rnacentral:rRNA from 1 species